AUUUUAAUAGCUUAAUGUAAGAGUUUAGUAUUGAAGAUACUAGUGUGAAAAAUUUUUCUUAAAAUA
rnacentral:tRNA from 1 species